rnacentral:lncRNA from 1 species
CGUCAAUCAAAGCCAACAAAUUGUUAUGAGAAGACCCACCUUCUUGAACAGCCCGUGUAGCCUUUCUUCCAAACUCUUGAGCACGUCGUCUAAUUUCCUUAGCUUCAUCACCAUCGUCCAUCAAUCUCCUCACAGCUUUUUCUAUACUAUGUCGACUCACCACUUUCUCUUUUUCUUGAAAACCAUGUAGAGCCCACUCUGUUGCACCCACCUCCACCCCAAUCCCUUGCACAACAGUUAUGAGCUUUUCAUUAUAGAAUUGUUCUCCUCGCACUGGCCAUGUAAUCAUCGGAAUCCCUGCACUAACAGCCUCAACGGUGGAGUUCCACCCGCAAUGUGUCAUGAAUGCACCCACAACAGUGUGGCUUAAAAUCAUUACUUGUGGUGCCCAUCCCCUAAUGAUAAAACCUUUCUUAUUUUCAAUGUUUCUCUCUUCGAACCCUUUAGGCAACCACUUUUCUUUAUCCUCUUCACUCUCAUCUUCUUUCCCUUUCUUCUCAGGAACAACCCAUACAAAUGCAUGACCCGAAUUUUCUAUUCCGCUCGCAAUCUCGUAAAGUUGUUUAUCAGAGAAAUAAGCGAUGCUCCCAAAACAUAUGUAUAACACUGAAUUUUCUUCCUUUGAGUUGAGCCAACUUAAACACUCAUGUGCGCUAACCACACUCUCAUUUCCCCUCACGGAUUUCUCUUCAAAAGUUUUACGAAUAAGACAAGCUGGACCAAGAUGCCAAGCCUUGUUACCCAUGGUUUUCUCAUAGUGUUUGAUGCAGUCUUCACCAUCAAGUUCAGCAAAGUUGUUAAUGAUGAGUCCCUUGGUUUUGCGGAUUGUGUCAAGCAUCCUUUCCUCAUAGUCGACGAAUUGCUUUGGUGGUGUUGAGGAAAAGGUGAUAGAAUGAGGAAAAUUUGGAACAACUAACGAACUCGAAUUCUUGUUAGAAUAUGAACGGUCUAUUCUUAGGGAUUCUAUGAGAGAUACGGUAAAUAGGGAGUAUCCGGUGAAGGCAAUGGUGGAGAUAUUAGGCUUAUUCACCAAGUCAUUAAUCCAAGGGUAUACACAAUCGGCAAUGAUGUAGUCAGGUUGAUCCUUCUCCACGAAUUCUUUAAUGGGUUCAUGGAGAAGCAUUGCACCUUUGCAUAUCUUGGCCAUGGUGGCAGGGUCAUUGUUGGAGGAUAAUGAUUCAACGCCGUCGGAGAGAUCGACUUGCUGGGAGGGAAAGUCGACGGUGUGAAGACGGAGGAAGAACGGAUCAACAGAGGAGAGAGAUUUGGUAAAGAAAUGAGCAUUGGAGGGAGUGGUGAUGAUCGUGACUUGUUGGCCAUGGGAUGCAAGCAGAGCUGCUAUGUCACCCAAAGGAAUCAUAUGACCAGGUGAUAGAAAUGGAAGCAUGUGAAGUUUCAAUGGCCGUUCAACUCCAACACCAUCUUCCAUUGCUGAUCAGUUUUUUUUUUCUUUUUUCUUUUGAGGGGAAAGAAUUGCUGAUCAAUU